rnacentral:rRNA from 1 species
GACGAACGCUGGCGGCGUGCCUAAUACAUGCAAGUCGAACGGAGUGGCGAACGGGUGAGUAAUGUAUCGGAACGUGCCCCGUAGCGGGGGAUAACUACGCGAAAGCGUAGCUAAUACCGCAUACUCGUGGAGCGGCCGAUAUCGGAUUAGCUAGUUGGUGGGGUAACGGCUCACAAAGGCGACGAUCCGUAGCUGGUUUGAGAGGACGACCAGCCACACUGGGACUGAGACCCGGCCCAGACUCCUACGUGAGGCAGCAGUGGGGAAUUUUGGACAAUUGUGGAAACCCUGAUCCAGCCAUCCCGCGUGUGCGAUGAAGGCCUUCGGGUUGUAAAGCACUUUUGGCAGGAAAGCGGUACCUGCAGAAUAAGCACCGGCUAACUACGUGCCAGCAGCCGCGGUAAUAC